GAUUCAGGGCUGUCCAUAUAAACAGGGCAGUUCUGCUGCUGGAUUCUGGGCAACGACACUGUCUGGAGGGCGCUGAAACUCUCCUAUCACUUACAACAGCAGUUCCCAAUCUGCGGUACAGGAACCACCAGUGGUAUGCAGACAACCUGUCAGUGCUGCCUGCUACAGGUGAAGAGGGUUAAAAAUCAGUCACAAAUGCCUGAAAUCUCCCUACACCCAGUUUUUGAUGACAUGCACUCAGUGGGGAAAAAAGCAGGUGCUGAGCAGAACACUGAAAUGGCUGAACCUAGAAUUAAGGGUUUGUGAAGAGGGAGAUUAGCAUUAACAGCCCUUGCCUUUACAUUUCAAUUCCUAUACAUCCCAGGUUCCUGUAACUGCCCCUCCUGUAAAAACUUGGGGUUUCCAAUAACCUCGGAUACCUAUGAUCUGCCCAGGGAUGUAGAUAAUAGUGUUUAGUGGAACAAUGGAUAGACCUGCCAUGAAGUUUCACCAUAGCAAAUACUGCCAACCCAGUAUAAGCUGGGGAAGAAAGAUGGGUGCGAGGUUCCUGCACUGUUUUUGAAUAGCUCCCAUUAACACCUCCUCUCUUGUAAAAACUUGACUUUUUUAGGCUUUUGGGGAUUACCCCUGAAAUCUGUCAAACAUUCCCUGUUUAAAAGGCAGGCGCUGAGCAGAAGACUGAAUGAAUGAAUCCUGACUUUUUUUUUUUUCUCCUGCUGCAAACCAAAUAGACUCCUGGAGCACAGUUGAGUGAUUGAUAGGUUGGACAGUGUUGCUGGGGAGGGGAUGUAUGCUUGAAGGGCCAGAAGCAAUUCCUUUUAAGUUGCAUCACAAGCUGCUAGGCAAUGGCUUUGGGGUAUGUGUGGCAGCAAGUCAUUAAGAACUAUCCUUUUGGACAAUGGGUCAUCUGGGGGACAAUUUGGGGCAGGCUAUGGAUUUCAAAGGUGGUCUGCUAGGAAAGGUCACGUGAGCAGAUUUGUAUGAGUGCUGGUACUGAGACACAGUUCACACCUGCAUAGGUAUGCAUAUGUGGAAAGUCAGACCCGCAUGAAAAGGUUCCAUAACCAUGUUUCUAACUGCUUUCAGCCAGAUGUAGAAAGCAUCUUGCAACUCUGGUCCGAGCAUAGUGACCUGCCUCUCAGUGACUCAUUUUGGCCCUGAAAAUACACUCAGUGGAGGUGCCAAAGAACAAGUUGUGUCUGCCAGGCUUGGAGCAGCAGCCAGAUGCAUCUUAAAGCCAUGUCCCCAACUGGGCCUAGACAAAAAUGGAAGAUUUGAUUGAUAUUUGUGGGGGACCAAAAGGUUCUUGUGUAGCUGGAAAACUGACAAAACAAGCCAGUGUAUGCAUCCAUUGCUAAGGAAAUGAAGGAUUACAGCCACAACCGGGACUGGACACCGUGCCACAAGAAGAUGAAUGCCCUGAAAAGUGCUUUUCAUCAGGCCAAGGACCAGAAUUCUCAUUCAGGAGCCAGAUGCACAGUAGUCCCAUUCUAUGAGCAGCUGUCCUGCACUCUCAUGAAGGAUGCAGGUGAGGCUUGCCUCUGAUCCUUUGGCAUGAUGGGGUUGCAGGAUGCCACAGCAUCACCUAGCCCAUAAGAGUCCACAGACUGUCCUGCCACUGCAUGGAGCAGUGCUAUAUGAAUUGCAUAGCCUUCAGGUAACCAGUUGGAGGUGGGGGGUGAGUGCUUGCAGCAGCUGCAGGGCGGGGAGAACCAAGAUGAAGUUGUCUUGACCAUGACCCCCCUCUCCCUGAUGCUUUUUCUGUAUAACCCAGAGGAGGAGGACACAUCAGAUUCCAUGAUGAUACAGUCCCCAGACUUGUGCAACACAAUUCCAGAGACCCAAAGAUUGGUGUUGGUGCUGGAGAUGCCCAAGGAUCCACUUUUUAAGUUACGGGGAAGGGGCAUUAGAUUGGUUUGGGUGACUAGGGCUUAUGUGAAUCUGGCCUCACUUUUGCAGUAGGGCCAAGCAUGGUGAAGCAGGAGGGAGGGCAUUAAUUUUGUAAGCAGCAGAUAUGCCCAUUGCCUGCAGUCACACAAUGUUUGGCUAACAUAGGGGUGGAUGUGCUGGGCCCUUUCUUAAAGUUGCUUAGGAGGUGGGGUGAAGCAUUAAUGCAUUUAGUGGCAGGAAUUUGUGCUGCUGAGGGAUGUACAAUUAACUCCUUAGUGGACUGGGGAGACAUCGGGGUUUCUGCUUAAUUAUUCUUUGUAGGUGGCUGUAUUAAUUCACCAAGUGGCAGGGAUGCUGCUUGGCAAUUGCCAGUAUGUUACAGGGAGUAAGGAUGAGGUAUUUGGUCACCAUGAACACCUUUUUCCCCCCAUUCCUGUUACCAGGUACUGCAUCCGCUGAAAUUUUGGGAUGCGUGCCCAAAGCGCAAACUAUUAUUUACAAAACAGAAAUUAGAGUAAAUUAAACCAACCACAGAACAACUUUAUAAGAUAAUGCAUAAUUACUACAUAACAGGAACUUAUUUUUACUACUGUAAAAGUGCAUGAGCUGUGGGGGGAGAAAAAAAUCAAUCAAAGCAAUAAUCAUUUCUAAUUAAAAGAACUUGGCUCCAAAUUGGACUUCCAGAGCUUGAUUGAGAACUUGUGGAUAACAGAAGGCAGAUCCAUACUGGCCUGUGCCACUGCCUGGCAGGAGCAGGGCCAAUGACCAGCAGGCAUAGAAUCAUUGCCAGGAGCCUGGUCAUUAUUUGCCAGUCCUGCUGGGUCUUGGAAUGCCUCCUGGACUCAGUUUGGUUCCUUUCCUUUCCAUGAAUCUGCCUCUCUCACCAUCUUGCACAGCCAGUGCUUGCAGUCCCUGAGGACAUUAACAAUCCUGUUGGUUAGUGUAUCAGCAGCAGCCUGCCUUGGUGCCCUGUGUGUCCUUAGCAGUGGCAUUGCAAGCAGAGCUGAAAAUCAAGAAAUGUGGGAAAUAGAGUGAAUUAAGGAUGCUUGGCACACUAUAAAGAUGCACUCAGUGAAUCUUGCAAGUAGAUAAGAAGCAGUUGACCCAAAAUGAGUGAGAAGGGGUGCCUGGCCUUGGGUGGUAGUAGUCCCUGACUGGCUGCAAACAAGUGCCCACCGAUGUGCUUCCCUGUUGUGGGUUGCCUUGCAUCUCUGUGCACAGCCCACUAAUUCCUAGGCUCUUUAAAGCACUGUCCUACACUGCCCACCUGCCCUGCCCCCUUUCUUCUCAUAGUCCAGCCUAAUUGUAGCUGUCAGGUCAGGUGACUUAAAAGGUCCCCAGGGCUUCACAUACUAGGUGUGGAGGUUGAGCUACAUGGUCUAUCCUCCUUGGAGGAAGUGGCAGGUGACCUGACUGAGCCCUUCUGCUAUCUUCUCCACUGGAGUCCCUGCAAGUCACAGUGAUAGUAGGCAAAGAUGCCCCAGAGACCUCUGUGCCUGUGCAUUUGCAGUGAUCUAGUACCUCCAUUAGCAGCUGGAGGUAUCUAUAAUGGGCCAUAUCAUGUAGUGGAGCUCCCUGCUACUGUGCUCUGCUGAAGGCAGCCCACAGCAUCUUUGCCUUGAGCCAGCACUGUAGUACCAUCUUGUGCCUCUGUUCACCCAUUCUCCUUGUAACAUCAAGGUAGAUGUUCCAGUUGUGUCCUCAGGUUGCAGAUAAACUGGUAUACCACCUCAGGGUCCCCAGGCACCCACACGAGGCUCUUUGUUUCAGUGAAGGUCCAAUUGGACCUAGACCUAUGCACCCUGUUUUGCUCUGUUCUCCCCUAAAUGUCAGACAUCUCAGAUCAAUAAGGAGUACUGGGGGGGGAGCGGUAUGCUCAAUUUAUAUGUCUAGAGGUGACAGGGCCAAGGGAAGUUCAUCACCCUCCUCCCCCACCUUGUGUUUGGGUAAAGUGUUGAUAACAGACAUGCUGUACAGCUGUUACAACUUUUGGUGCCAGUCAGUGGCACUCACCUAGGACAUGCUGGCCCCAGGCAGGGUAAAGGCAGGGUGGGGGCCUCUGUCUGUACCAGUAGCAACUUUUGCUAUCUUAUGGGCAUGCUUGUUCUGGAUGUGUUUUAGCCCUGCUAGGUCCUUUAGCCCUGUAUAUGCCAUGGCACAGUAGCAGGCUUCCCAGUGACCCACCAUGUGUCAAAACACCACUCCCAACAGGACAGGAUCUGAAAUGCUGAGGAGUUCAGACAGAGCUGGUGAGGGAAUGAUUUGCUUACAGAACUCACCUGCUAUUCAUAAAGUGGGUGUUCUUAAGGCUCAUGAUCGGAUUCACAGAACUCCACUUGUCAGGUUUACAUAAAAUUGGUGAGUGAAUUAAUGGUGUUAGGGGGAUAAUUAUGCCACAGCCAGCUGAAAAGGGAUGUUUUGGAGGUGCAGGGUAUGGAGGUGCAGGUGUUCACUAGGGCUGUUGCUGGGCAAAGUCUGGGGAUUUUUGCUGUGUGUGCAAGACCUAGGCUCUGCAACUUGCAAGUUUUGGCACCAGUCAACUGGGACAUAGCUGGCAGCAGGCAGGAUCAAGGCAGGGAGCGGGGCUCUGUCUGCACCAGUGGCAACUUCUGGUAUCUUAUGGGCAUGCUUGUUCUAGAUGUGUUUUUGCUCUGCUAGGUCCUUUAGCCCUGUGUUUGCCAUAGCACAGUAGCAGGCUGCCAAGUGACCCAUGUGCCAAGUCACUGCUCCUAGGAGAACAUGGUUCCUGUAACCACCCCUUCUCUAAAAACUUGGCGUUUUUGGGAAUUACUCCUGAAAGCCAUCAAGUGCUCAGCGGAAAAAAGGCAGGUGCUUAGCAGAAGACUGAAUGGAAUUGAACCCCAAAUCACAAGGGUAGCCAGUCACCCCUCCUGGCCAGAAGCAUCCCCCCCACACCAAAACCACAGCAGUACCCCUACAAGGGAGCCACUGCCCCCCUCCAACAGGAGCUACCACCCAAAGGAACUUUGAGGGCCCAUUAAACUCCUACUAGCUGCUAAAUGGUGAGAGCAGAACCCACCCAACUUGGCCAGCCCUCGCUUGCCCUAUUACAAUUUUUUGCACCAGUCAGCAGCGUGUUCACCCAGCAGGGUUAGGCUUCUUUACACCAGGCAUGGCACAUCAGCUGUGGGGGAAGCCUUGCUGCACCAUCCCUGAACCCCCCAAAAUCCCUGUACGUGCAUGGCACAACAGCAGGAUACACGCUGACCCAUGUGUCAAGACACUGCUCCCAGGGGCCCCUGGCCACCUGAUAGACUGAGUGACCAGCUGCCCACCUGGGAGUCUGCCUGACCCCUCCCCACUGUGGGGAGGCACAAGCCUUAGGUCUGGCUUG